CCUACGGGUGGCAGCAGUCGAGAAUCAUUCACAAUGGGGGAAACCCUGAUGGUGCGACGCCGCGUGGGGGAAUGAAGGUCUUCGGAUUGUAAACCCCUGUCAUGUGGGAGCAAAUUAAAAAGAUAGUACCACAAGAGGAAGAGACGGCUAACUCUGUGCCAGCAGCCGCGGUAAUACAGAGGUCUCAAGCGUUGUUCGGAUUCACUGGGCGUAAAGCGUGCGUAGGCUGUUUCGUAAGUCGUGUGUGAAAGGCGCGGGCUCAACCCGCGGACGGCACAUGAUACUGCGAGACUAGAGUAAGGGAGGGGGAACCGGAAUUCUCGGUGUAGCAGUGAAAUGCGUAGAUAUCGAGAGGAACACUCGUGGCGAAGGCGGGUUCCUGGACAUUAACUGACGCUGAGGCACGAAGGCCAGGGGAGCGAAAGGGAUUAGAUACCCUGGUAGUC
rnacentral:rRNA from 1 species